GAAGCCACAUUCGGUAUAGCAUACGCCACUUGCAGGGUGAUUACCGAGCGCGGCACAGGCCAGCAGGAUCCACAGGGCGGCACUGCAGCGCCGUCGUCGCACACCGGCAGCCGGUCCUCGCCUCAGCACGCGCACCUUGCGCGGAGCCAUCAGCGGACGGCUCGGUUCUUCGUCCGACAUGGCCAGUCGGGGCGCAGUCCAGCUGGCGCUGAGCGACUCGUGCGACGAACGAUGU
rnacentral:lncRNA from 1 species